AGGAGUCAUGAGGCUGUGGCCAUGGGUGCUGGUGUGGGUGUGGCUGGCUGCACUAGGGGCCAUAGAAACUGGUAAGAAGCUGUCUUGGGAGCAGCAGGAAGGCAGGCAGCUCUGGGAGCAUAAAGUGUGAUGCCCACUUAGGGACUCGGAAGCCAACCCUGCACCCUCUCAUUUUCUCUCCACUCUUCUCUCCCAUCCUGCUGGUCCCACCUACCCCCCAACAACCGCGAGCCUUGUCGUGGUGCACCCAGCUGACCCUGAGGGAAAUCAAGACCCUCCACAGCCUCUGCAAUAAGGCUGGGUGGUCUCACAGGGUCCCAAGUCAGCUUCCGCCUCGAGAGAUAAAGGCAGGGGUCAGCUUGGCUGUUGUCACAGAGUUUGCUUGGGUCCUAGCACCCAGACCCAAGCGUGCCACGGCGUCAGCCCUGGGGACAGAGUCUCCGCGCUUCUUAGACAGACCUGACUUCUUCGAUUAUCCGGACUCAGACCAAGCCAGGCUGCUGGCUGUGGCCCAGUUUAUUGGAGAGAAACCCAUCGUGUUCAUUAACUCAGGUUCCAGCCCCGGGCUCUUCCAUCACAUCCUGGUGGGCUUGCUGGUGGUGGCGUUCUUCUUUCUCCUUUUCCAGUUCUGCACCCACAUAAACUUCCAGAAAGGGGCCUAAAGAGCCGGACAAGGGCUCUGGACUCAACCUGAGCACCCACACCCACCUCCUCUCCUGUUGAUGAGCAAAAGUUCCCUGCUUUCCUCCUCCCUGACUGCCCAGCGAGCAGCUGGGGAUCCUGUCCCCUCUGUUUCCCAUGGCCCAAGCCCCCCACCUCCUCCCUUCCCAGCCCCAAAGAACUUGGUGGCAAGGGCCUUGGUGGCGUUCACGCAGAUCGUCUUUUAUUAGCGGUCUGUAAAGCACCUCCCAGGGUCCCCCGACCCCAGAUUGGAGGAAGCCUUGAGAGGUCAGUAGCACCAGGGACAUGGCAGGGCCCGAGGGCGCGAUGUGCAGCCGAUGGUGAGGGACUGGGCGCCCUCGCCUGCCCCCGGGGUUGUCAGCACUGGGAAGGCUUGGGGGUAGCAGCCACCUCCUUCCCCCAACCCAACAGACUAGUUCAAAUUUGGGUAAAUAAAUAAAAUAAAUAAGAUUCCUC
rnacentral:lncRNA from 1 species